rnacentral:rRNA from 1 species
AGUGAACGCUGGCGGUAGGCCUAACACAUGCAAGUCGAGCGGCAGCACAGUAAGAGCUUGCUCUUACGGGUGGCGAGUGGCGGACGGGUGAGGAAUACAUCGGAAUCUACUUUUUCGUGGGGGGUAACGUAGGGAAACUUACGCUAAUACCGCAUACGACCUACGGGUGAAAGCAGGGGAUCUUCGGACCUUGCGCGAUUGAAUGAGCCGAUGUCGGAUUAGCUGGUUGGCGGGGUAAAGGCCCACCAAGGCGACGAUCCGUAGCUGGUCUGGGAGGCUGGUCGGCCACCCUGGAACUGAGACACGGUCCAGACUCCUACGGGAGGCAGCAGUGGGGAAUAUUGGACAAUGGGCGCAAGCCUGAUCCAGCCAUACCGCGUGGGUGAAGAAGGCCUUCGGGUUGUAAAGCCCUUUUGUUGGGAAAGAAAAGCAGCAGGUUAAUACCCCGCUGUUCUGACGGUACCCAAAGAAUAAGCACCGGCUAACUUCGUG